AUAAUGGAGGAUGAUGUUUGGAUCCCAGGGUAUGAACUUACAUCCCAGGAAGCUGGAACAUAUUGGUACUUGCCGCCAGAAUGCUUUGAGCUCACCAAGAUCCCUUUAAUAUCAUCGAAGGUCAGUCUUGCUAUGAAUAAAUGUCCUUGCAGGGAAGAGGGUAGGGGAUUAUUGUGAUACAAGGAACUCCCUUUGUUUCUUGCGUCAUGCCUUUAUGAAUGUCUAAAUGGUUGAUGUCUGGUCAGCUGGGGUUCUAUUCUACUAAAUGCUCUUUGGCAGACGUCCUUUUGGGCAUGACCAAUCUCAAGAACGAAUAUUGCGUGAAGACACAAUUAUUAAAGCUCGCAGGGUUGAAUUCCCCUCAAAGCCUUCUGUCUCAAAUGAGGCAAAGGAUUUUAUUCGUCGAUGUCUAACGUAUAACCAAACUGAAAGACCAGAUGUUCUAACUGUUGCUCAAGAUCCGUAUCUUACAUACUCAAAGAAGUAGUGUACAAAGACAGAGAAGCAGGCUCGCAUGGGGCAGGAAGGUGGGUAGCUUCAAACUUGGAAAGCAAUUUGUUGCAAGAUCAACUUGGAAUUUUGUAUAGACUGUAAAGGUUUUCUAACUUUUUUUUUCCCUGGUUUUUCAGGCCAAGAGUUUAGUGCCCCUCUUUCUUUUGAGUAAA